UGGCAACUUUGUGUCUAGUAGGUCAGC
rnacentral:piRNA from 1 species